rnacentral:tRNA from 1 species
CGGACUGUGGCGCAGUUCGGUAACGCACUUGCAUGUGGUGCAAGUGGUCAUGGGUUCGAAUCUCUGCACUCCGC